rnacentral:misc_RNA from 1 species
GAUGAAGAACGUAGCGAAAUGCGAUACUUGGUGUGAAUUGCAGAAUCCCGUGAACCAUCGAGUCUUUGAACGCAAGUUGCGCCCGAAGCCAUUAGGCCGAGGGCACGCCUGCCUGGGCGUCACACGUCGUUGCCCCCCCAUCUACUCCUUCGGGAUUGCGGGGGGCGGAUGAUGGCCUCCCGUGCGCCUCGUCGCGCGGUUGGCAUAAAUGCCAAGUCCUCGGCGACGCACGCCACGACAAUCGGUGGUUGCGAAACCUCGGUUGCCCGUCGUGUGCGGUCAUCGCGCAUCGAGAGCUCGAAAAAAUUGCCGGGCUCCGGCUCGGCUUUCAACGCGACCCCAGGUCAGGCGGGGUUACCCGCUGAAUUUAAGCAUAUCAAUAAGCGGAGGA